rnacentral:rRNA from 1 species
UGUUAGCGGCGGACGGGUGAGUAACACGUGGGUAACCUGCCUGUAAGACUGGGAUAACUCCGGGAAACCGGGGCUAAUACCGGAUGGUUGUUUGAACCGCAUGGUUCAAACAUAAAAGGUGGCUUCGGCUACCACUUACAGAUGGACCCGCGGCGCAUUAGCUAGUUGGUGAGGUAAUGGCUCACCAAGGCAACGAUGCGUAGCCGACCUGAGAGGGUGAUCGGCCACACUGGGACUGAGACACGGCCCAGACUCCUACGGGAGGCAGCAGUAGGGAAUCUUCCGCAAUGGACGAAAGUCUGACGGAGCAACGCCGCGUGAGUGAUGAAGGUUUUCGGAUCGUAAAGCUCUGUUGUUAGGGAAGAACAAGUACCGUUCGAAUAGGGCGGUACCUUGACGGUACCUAACCAAAAAGCCACGGCUAACUACGUGCCACCACCCGCGGUAAUACGUAGGUGGCAAGCGUUGUCCGGAAUUAUUGGGCGUAAAGGGCUCGCAGGCGGUUUCUUAGUCUGAUG